AAAAAAAUAAAAAAAAUAGAAAAAAACUAUGAAAAAGAAAAGAAAAAGAGAUAAGAAAAGAUAAUCACAAGGCAAAGUAAAAGAAAGAAAGAAAAAAAGAAAAGAAAAAAUGGAAAGGCACAGGUGAAGAAAAACACACGAGAGGGAAACAGUCGAACGCAAUGCAAAGUUUUGACAGUCAGAUUGCAAAUUGAGAUGAUGAAUGUGGCCGCGGGGGAGACGGGCGAGCAGUGUGGGGUUGGGAAGUGCGGCUGAGGUUGAAACCGAGUUUAACUUUGAGGUUUAAAGGACCCAGAGGUUGAAACGAGGUUGAGAUAUGAGGUUUAAAGGACCCAGAGGUUGAAACGAGGUUGAGAUAUGAGGUUUAAAGGAUUCAGAGGUUAAGACGAGGUUGAGAUAUGAGGUUUAAAGGACCCAGAGGUUGAAACGAGGUUGAGAUAUGAGGUUUAAAGGACCCAGAGUUUGAAAAGAGGUUGAGAUAUGAGGUUUAAAGGAUUCAGAGGUUGAAACGAGGUUGAGAUAUGAGGUUUAAAGGAUUCAGAGGUUAAGACGAGGUUGAGAUAUGAGAUUUUAAGGACCCAGAGGUUGAAACGAGGUUGAGAUAUGAGGUUUAAAGGACCCAGAGGUUGAAACGAGGUUGAGAUAUGAGGUUUAAAGGAUUCAGAGGUUAAGACGAGGUUGAGAUAUGAGAUUUUAAGGACCCAGAGGUUGAAAUAUUAGGUUUACAGCACCGAAAGGUUGAGGUAUGAGGUUUAAACAACCAAGAGAUUGAGAUAUGAGAUUUAAGGCACCCAGAGGUUGAGAUUUGAGGUUUAAAGGACCAAAGCUUGAGGCGAGGCUGAGGUAUUAGAUUUGAAACACCGAGAGGUUAAGGCUAAAUCUGGAACACAGAGUUGAGGUUGAGGUUGAAAUGGUAGAAAUGAGGACCUUGCGAUUGACUGCCGUUUGAAAGGCGUAGGCGAGGUUGACACUUGAAAUAAAGGCAUCGAGUGUGGUUGAGUGGGGGAGAUGAGGUUAAAAACUUCGAAUGAGGUUGAAGUGUUGAUAGGGUGAGGCUAGAUGCAAGAAAGAGAAGUAUUAGUAAGAUUGAACUUGACGAGCGAUGUAUCCUCGAGACAAAAAAAAAA